rnacentral:rRNA from 1 species
AUUGAACGCUGGCGGCAGGCCUAACACAUGCAAGUCGAGCGGAUGACGGGAGCUUGCUCCUUGAUUCAGCGGCGGACGGGUGAGUAAUGCCUAGGAAUCUGCCUGGUAGUGGGGGACAACGUUUCGAAAGGAACGCUAAUACCGCAUACGUCCUACGGGAGAAAGCAGGGGACCUUCGGGCCUUGCGCUAUGAGAUGAGCCUAGGUCGGAUUAGCUAGUUGGUGGGGUAAUGGCUCACCAAGGCGACGAUCCGUAACUGGUCUGAGAGGAUGAUCAAUCACCCUGGAACUGAGACACGGUCCAGACUCCUGCGGGAGACAGCAGUGGGGAAUAUUGGACAAUGGGCGAAAGCCUGAUCCAGCCAUGCCGCGUGUGUGAAGAAGGUCUUCGGAUUGUAAAGCACUUUAAGUUGGGAGGAAGGGCAGUAAGCUAAUACCUUGCUGUUUUGACGUUACCGACAGAAUAAGCACCGGCUAACUCUGUGCCAGCCGCCGCCGUAACAC